GCAUACAUAUGUAUAGUCCGAAAAAGUACGGCUACCAGCAAUAUACCUAUAGUGUAAUAAACAAUGAAUAUUAGAUAUCAAGAAAGACAUAGUGAUAUUGCUUGUAUUAAAAACAGCAAUUUGCCAAUAGAAAAGAAUAUUUCUAAUAUUCGAAUCGAGGGCAGAAUCGCAGAAAACGUAUUUGCUAUAAAGUGUCAAUUUGUAUAUCAAUAUGGCGGCGAAUCUUGAGGAAGAGCAAAGUUUAAGAGAGUGCGAGGAAUACGUACAAAGACACAAUAUUCAACAAGUUUUAAAAGACUGUAUAGUGCAGCUGUGCGUGGGGCGUCCUGAAAAUCCUAUAUCUUUUUUGAGAGAAUACUUUCAGAAACUGGAACGGGAGCAGGCUCACGAUGCGAAGCAACAAAUUGCAACCAGUCCAGAGGAUACAGAGGACAUACCUGCCGGGCAACAGGGUCCUCAGGUUCCUCGACGCCGAGGAGGCAUAUCUGCGGAACCGGUUUCUGAGGAAGAUGCGACCAGUUACGUUAAGAAAGUCGUACCUAAGGACUACAAAACAAUGGCUGCUUUGAGCAAAGCGAUCGCCAAAAAUGUUCUUUUCGCUCAUCUUGAUGAAAACGAACGUUCCGACAUAUUCGAUGCUAUGUUCCCGGUCACGUUUCUACCUGGAGAAGCAAUUAUUCGUCAAGGUGACGAAGGUGACAACUUUUAUGUAAUCGACCAAGGGGAAGUUGAAAUCUUUGUAAACGGAGAAUUGGUCACAACAAUCGGUGAGGGUGGAAGUUUUGGUGAAUUGGCAUUGAUCUAUGGCACUCCACGUGCCGCUACUGUUCGAGCGAAAACCGAUGUGAAAUUAUGGGGUAUUGACAGAGACUCUUAUCGUAGAAUUCUUAUGGGUUCUACUAUAAGAAAACGGAAAAUGUACGAGGAAUUCCUGUCCAGAGUUUCGAUUUUAGAGUCUUUGGAUAAGUGGGAACGGCUCACAGUAGCGGAUGCUUUAGAACCAGUAGCAUUUGAUGACGGUGAAACAAUAGUCCGACAGGGUGAACCAGGUGAAGAUUUUUACAUUAUCGUUGAAGGCACAGCUGUGGUUCUUCAACAACGCUCAGAGGGCGAGGAACCUACGGAGGUUGGCCGCUUAGGGCCGUCUGAUUAUUUUGGUGAAAUUGCAUUGUUAUUGGACAGGCCGAGAGCAGCAACUGUAGUGGCGCGAGGUCCAUUAAAAUGCGUAAAGCUUGAUAGAGCAAGAUUUGAAAGAGUUUUAGGUCCUUGCGCAGAUAUUCUGAAACGCAACAUCACUCAGUAUAACAGUUUCGUGUCCCUGUCCGUAUAAAUUGCCGUACAAAACAACAUUAUCAGUCACUCAGAUUCUUUUUAUGGAGCUACGUUUCACUAUUAACAUUUUUUAUUUGAGUAAUAUCCUCAUAGAAGAAUCUUCGUUUUGUGAUUAUGAACGGUGGGCUGAGAUCGAGACAUAUAUGUAUAUAUACAAAUUGUCGCGGGGAGAGUUCUCAUUUACAAACUGUUGUUCGACUGGAUUAAUCGUCGAACAACGAAGAACAAUGAUAUCAGGGGACAGUAAGAAGAAUUGUGUAUCGUAACAGGUCAAUGUAUAGCAUGAUAUAUGCACAUGCAUAUGCAUAUGUAUGUACAGGGACAUACGCAUAUAUCGAGAAACACAUGCAUAUAUAAAUUCAGCACAAGAAUAUGUGCCUACACAAAUGUGCACGAUAAGUGCAUUUGGUUUGUUUUUUAACGACAUCUUCCACGAGAGAAGAGCGCUGUUGCUUUACCAAGCACCUACAGAACCACUGCUUGUCUUGCAGUCGAUAAGAUGUUGUUCUGGAUCAGCAUAAACCAACCCAAACUCAUUGACAAAUUCAUAAAACUUGUCCAAAGAUUCAAAGGCCAAUUCUGCUACGACGAAAUCAACCGCCAAAUUUUGCCGGUAGCUAAACAGCAGAAGAAAUGUAUCAUUAGACAAAUUAUGUAAUAAAUACAUGUGUAUAAAAAAAUAAUUCUACUAAAAAUAAUUAGUUAACUAUAAAACUAGUUAUUUCCAGCUACAAAAUCCUGUAACAGAAAUCUAUACAUGAUUAUAAUCGUUAAAAAAAAAAAAAAUUAUUUACAAUCGUCCACCUUCUUCCACGUAACAAUGUACGUCCCUGAAAAGUAAUGCUCCAUUUCUAGGAGAAUUUGUUAUUAUAUAUAUAUACAUUAGGGAUAUUUAAAUAUAUUUCCAUAUACUGAAUAGAAA